UCUAAGGCAAGCAUAACCAGCAUUCUCUCUGCAUCUUAAAGGAGCUAAAAUAAUGUAACUCAAAUCUCUGACAAUAAUCACUUAACUCAACGACCUUUGGAAAUCUCUGAGAGGCAGCAUGGAGGAGGGAAAGGAAUGCUGGUAAUGGGUGUUAUACUAAUGAAAUAGCGCAUAUGCAUUUUCCAGUGGCUUACCACAAGGGAGACUUACUUUGAUGCAAUUGAGAAAGGUUCUUUGGAUAAGCCAGGAGGACUUGAUUGACCACGAUUCCAGAAGUGAUAAUGAACCAUACUACCUCCACUCCCAUCUGAUACAGAUCAAGAAUGAGAGGAUCCAAUAUAAACCAAUGAUGUUGGGCCAGAGGUAUCUCUAGAUUGCUUGAAAAUGUUGGAAGUGUCCAUGGCCUGCUAAAUUGAGAAAGUAGGGAAGAUGCAGCAUGAGGAAAAUAAAUAGACCACACGC